ACACCGAGCUCAGGUUCGCCGCAGAGUUCGCGAAGAUGGUUGAUGAGAUAGGGCCUUCUGUGGGACCCUCAUCAGGCUAGCUUUAUCAUUUGUGUGGAUUACCGUCAGGCUUGUUGACGGAAUUCAUUUGCUUGUAUUUUCUUGCUGAUUCUGGAGAUUUGUAUCUGAUUUGAUGUAUGACUAUGGCGCUUAUUGUGCAUUUUGCUAUGUGAUGGUUAUUUUCAUUC
rnacentral:lncRNA from 1 species